rnacentral:rRNA from 1 species
CCUACGGGGCGCUGCAGUGGGGAAUAUUGGACAAUGGGCGAAAGCCUGAUCCAGCCAUGCCGCGUGUGUGAAGAAGGCCUUCGGGUUGUAAAGCACUUUCAGUGGGGAAGAAAGCCUUGGGGCUAAUACCCUCGAGGAAGGACAUCACCCACAGAAGAAGCACCGGCUAACUCCGUGCCAGCAGCCGCGGUAAUACGGAGGGUGCGAGCGUUAAUCGGAAUUACUGGGCGUAAAGCGCGCGUAGGCGGUCUGAUAAGCCGGUUGUGAAAGCCCCGGGGUCAACCUGGGAACGGCAUCCGGAACUGUCAGGCUAGAGUGCAGGAGAGGAAGGUAGAAUUCCCGGUGUAGCGGUGAAAUGCGUAGAGAUCGGGAGGAAUACCAGUGGCGAAGGCGGCCUUCUGGACUGACACUGACGCUGAGGUGCGAAAGCGUGGGUAGCAAACAGGAUUAGAUACCCCAGUAGUC